CCAAAACGGAUACCCUGGGGAGAUGACUCUCCAGGCUCCGAGUGGUCCAAGGGAGCAUAGGGCCUUGUGCUGUGAUGUACAAUCCCGUCCCACAACGUUGGACAGCAAACCAGGCUUUCUGUCUGCGUCUGUCUGCGCCUAAUGCUAGGGGUCUUUGGACUGUGCCCAAGGAGACAAACCAUAGGGAAAACGA